GUGAGGAAUAUUGGUCAAUGGCCGGGAGGCUGAACCAGCCAAGUCGCGUGAGGGAAGACGGUCCUAUGGAUUGUAAACCUCUUUUGUCAGGGAGCAAAAACUGCCACGCGUGGCAGGAUGAGAGUACCUGAAGAAAAAGCAUCGGCUAACUCCGUGCCAGCAGCCGCGGUAAUACGGAGGAUGCGAGCGUUAUCCGGAUUUAUUGGGUUUAAAGGGUGCGUAGGCGGACAGUUAAGUCAGCGGUAAAAUUGAGAGGCUCAACCUCUUCCCGCCGUUGAAACUGAUUGUCUUGAGUGGGCGAGAAGUAUGCGGAAUGCGUGGUGUAGCGGUGAAAUGCAUAGAUAUCACGCAGAACUCCGAUUGCGAAGGCAGCAUACCGGCGCCCAACUGACGCUGAAGCACGAAAGCGUGGGUAUCGAACAGG
rnacentral:rRNA from 1 species